rfam:Ochrobactrum intermedium 229E Contig49, whole genome shotgun sequence.
UGUCAAGUGCUAUUAGCGUCAUUUCGGCGGGUGGAUUUCUUUUGCCUUGUGGAAGGUGAAAGAAAAUG